GAUGAACGCUGGCGGCGUGCCUAAUACAUGCAAGUCGAGCGAACGGACGAGAAGCUUGCUUCUCUGAUGUUAGCGGCGGACGGGUGAGUAACACGUGGAUAACCUACCUAUAAGACUGGGAUAACUUCGGGAAACCGGAGCUAAUACCGGAUAAUAUUUUGAACCGCAUGGUUCAAAAGUGAAAGACAGUCUUGCUGUCACUUAUAGAUGGAUCCGCGCUGCAUUAGCUAGUUGGUAAGGUAACGGCUUACCAAGGCAACGAUGCAUAGCCGACCUGAGAGGGUGAUCGGCCACACUGGAACUGAGACACGGUCCAGACUCCUACGGGAGGCAGCAGUAGGGAAUCUUCCGCAACGGGCGAAAGCCAGACGGAGCAACGCCGCGUGAGUGAUGAAGGUCUUCGGAUCGUAAAACUCUGUUAUUAGGGAAGAACAUAUGUGUAAGUAACUGUGCACAUCUUGACGGUACCUAAUCAGAAAGCCACGGCUAACUACGUG
rnacentral:rRNA from 1 species